UAUGUUGCUUCUCCUUGCAGCGCUCAAUAGCGACCAGCCCAGGCAUCAUUGCAGACUUGACACCGGCCAAAUCGGACGACAAGCAUCUACGGCAUGUGCAGUGACAAUUUGUGCUUGAAAAAAAAAAAAAGAGAAAAGAAUAGAAAAAAAAAACAUCUUAUGAAGAUGUGCACAUGACUCUCACUGCCGAAGAGGGAAAGACUUUUUUCCGCAAGCAGACGGCCGGAGACGCACGGGGGCGAGACAUAAACGCCCAUAAGUUGCUGAAAUGAAUCGUCAUGUACAGGGCUGCCAUAAGAGGAAGAAGAAGAAAAAAAGAAGCUCCAAAUGCCUCCAACAUGGAGGGGGGAAGAAGGGAUGCACCCAGAGACGAACAUGACAAGGAAAAGACAACCAUAAUGAAAGAAAGGUCCAAACAUGAUGGAGGCACCUUGGGUCUGUCGGCAGUCUAACGCCAGCAUACUACCCCCACCAGGCAUCAAUAGACAAGGCAACAUUCCAGCUGUGGUGAGAUUGAGGAAGUCAAGACACACACACACACACACACACACACGAGGCCAGAGGUACGUGAGCAGAUGAGCAUUAAGUCAGGCAACUAAACAGAUCGGUUUGAUAUCAGCAGACAGACAGAGGAAGCCAGUCUAUACCUGCAGGCAGUCAGCAGCACCCUCACCAGGAAUGUCCUCCCACUUGUGAGACACAUAAAUGUAGCUGGACUUUCCUCUCAAACAUCUACGUGAUCUGGUCUUCAAAUGUAUAGCAGUCAUCAGAAAUGUAAUUUGCAUUUAGAACAGCAAAUCUACAACGAUGGAAAGAUAAAAACAGAAUUAUCAACAAAACCCUUGUUUUAAUUAUUGGGGAAACAAACGUUUUAAAGUAACACCAUUCUACCUUAUAAUCAAGCUUUAUAACCACUGGUUGUAGACUGGCUGCCAUGGCAACCCCGCAUGACCUGCUAUUUGUGGUCAUUAUAAAAGGUAGAACAAAGAAUAUCACCCACGAAAUGAACUUGAAUAUAAAAAGAAAGAAAAGCCGCUGUAUUGAAAUUAUAUUAGCACGCAUUCACAUGCUACUCUGAUACUGACUACAGGCACUCCCUUUUGUUACUUUGGAGUAAUUUGAUCAUCCCUGCAUGAAUUUGUCUGUCUGGAAUUACGAGGACGUUCCAACGAGGUAACUGGUAUCAAUUGGGGAAACUUUGACGGUAUCGAUUUGCAAGACUUGCUUUGCUAGUUUGCUGUUGUGGGAACUCUGUGGAGAAAUGAUCUGUUGUGAGAAUUUAACUAUAGUCUCCAAGCAGAACCAAACUCUUUAGGUUGGACUAAAUAAGUAGUGCUAACAAUUCCCGUCUCCUGUGCAGAUUUACGGACUCCCUCUUCAAACUAACAUUGUCAUUAAGCUCCUCCUGAAGAUUUACAUUUGCCUGAAGAAACCACCACCUACGCUUAUCUAAAGAUGACUCAGUAGCUAAAUGUCAGAGCUGUCCAUGCCAUUAAGGCCAACGACUUUGAAGGCUGGACACCCUGAAACCCCACCCUCACUUCCCCCGUCUCUUCUUAUUCCUUUCUCACUCCCACUUUGACUUUGCCUUCAUCCGCCAUCAUCCAUCUCCCGCACAUCCAGGCUGGUUUAAGGGCUGAUGUGUGCGUAGACCUUGUCAUUCACAUUAGGGUAACAAUGUCAGCUCAGGGCCCUUCCCUCUCUCCUUCUUUCUGUGCCUCUCUCAUGGCCUAGAUCUUUCUUCCUGUCACCCUCAUCCUGCGGCCAGAGAAGACCUUAUAAAGCAACAUCCUUCUCUUCCACUUCUGUCAAUUCCAACUCUGUCAUUCAAAUCCUUGUCUGCCAGUGAGCAGAGUUUGCAGUGAAAAGCAAACACUUUAUUUUUAAUUGGGAUUUUGUGUGCAUGGAGGCAGAAGAUGAAAAUGCAGGGAAAUUAGUCAGCAUUCUUUAACAGCAGCCAUGAAUGAAACAAAUAUCUAAAGUACUUUAAGGUUGAAAAUGUCGUGUCAGCACAUUACCUAAUCAACUCAGCAACCAUCCAAUCUUUAAAAGUAUCCCAAAUUGCAGAUUUAUCUGCUGGCCUCUUGACUGAUGGCCUCUGAUGGACAGUUGCUUGAUUUUUAAUGAGCAGGCUAAUGACAUUGCCUGGAAGAGCAACAUUUCAAUGUUCAGUAAUAUGUUUCAUGCACGGCCCUGGGCGGCUUUAAGCGCCGAAAAGGAAGGUUUGCAUGAUCGUUAGCCCGAUUUGUAAUUUGGGUGAGUCAACAGUUUCAUUUUGCUCAUUGCAAGAGAUGACAUGAGAAUGCCCCCGGUAUAGACCACACCUAAAAACUGCCAUGACUCAGUUGUUUCAAAAUGACAUCUUCCUCUCUCCACUGCCAUUUUAAAGGAAAUGAAGCCCUUUGCUAAACACCGACUCUAUCCUUAGUGUCAUAAUGAGAAUGUGUUAGAGUAGUUGCUACGUGCGUACAACACUUGGUGACAGUUUAUGACAGGCCAGCAUUAACAUUGCUGACUUUGAACAAUGAGCGAGGCAAAGCCAGUCCUUUGUGCAAAGCCCUUGAUUGUGGAGUAUGCAGAGGCUCUAAAAUACUUUUUUUUCUAUUCAUAUCAACAUAACUGUUUCCUUCAAAAACAAAAUUCACAGUGAUUAUUUUUUGGUGGCAGAUAUAAGUUAGGAUACAUGCACAUGCAUAGAAAAAUAUAUUUAGAUGUCAAGUAAGCUUAUUGAUAUAUGUGUUGAGUAUUAGAAUGGUAUUCAUGCUUUUGCAGAUUGUGUCAUAGUAGGGCAAAACUGUGUGAAACAUUGAACCCACAUUUCUUGAUCUCCUUGGUCACCAUCAGGUUUGUGCUUGCCCCAGUGAACAUUCAACGCUGUCGGUGAGUUUGGUUAAUAGAAGAACCAUCGACCGUUGAUUGUACCCUGUGGUAGGCAGUUAGCCAGAAAACAAAUAAAAGGUGCAGAAUCUGCACACAGGCAUUGGAAAUGACUCAUCGACCCUUUUCUACAAGCAAGAUGACACAAUUUUGUUGUUGUUUACAAAAACCAACCACAAAGGUCACAAUCAACAUUCAUUGCUGUCGGUGGGUUUAACUGUAUAGAAGAGCUCACUGAACGAUGAAUGCAACUGUGUCCCAGAUUUCGGCUGACUUCACAACGAAUAAUGUCACGAUAUGCUGAUGAUGCUAUUGUUUAUAUCCGUGCCUGCCCUGCUCCAAGCCUUCCACCAAUAACAGGCAAACACGGACUGCGCAGACUGACAGGAAGUUCAGAUUGCAUCUCGAUCACACUGGCUGUGCUGGAGGGGCUUGAAUCUCGCAACAAAGGCAAAGCAAGAAUGGGGGGAAAAGGAGGGGGAAAGAUGCAGAGAUACUUGUGGGGAAAAAAUGACCUUAAAAAAAUUGCAUUUACGUUUGAUAUAAAAUAGCUGAAAUUUUCAACUGAAGUUAAUGAGUUGCCUCAAGAUGCCUCUAUGCACCCAACACCAUUAUUAAAGGAAGAGUGUGCUUUCCAAUUAUCCAAUUUAUUUGAUUAAGGGUGAACAUGAACAGAUGCAUUUUUUCUUAUUUAUUAAAACAGCAUUGUAUGUUGUAAUCUAUGGUACUUGUAUUUAUUGAAUAAUGUCCAAUAAAAUGUGUCAGAUUA